AUGAACGCUGGCGGCAGGCCUAACACAUGCAAGUCGAGCGGUAGAGAGAAGCUUGCUUCUCUUGAGAGCGGCGGACGGGUGAGUAAUGCCUAGGAAUCUGCCUGGUAGUGGGGGAUAACGUUCGGAAACGAACGCUAAUACCGCAUACGUCCUACGGGAGAAAGCAGGGGACCUUCGGGCCUUGCGCUAUCAGAUGAGCCUAGGUCGGAUUAGCUAGUUGGUGAGGUAAUGGCUCACCAAGGCGACGAUCCGUAACUGGUCUGAGAGGAUGAUCAGUCACACUGGAACUGAGACACGGUCCAGACUCCUACGGGAGGCAGCAGUGGGGAAUAUUGGACAAUGGGCGAAAGCCUGAUCCAGCCAUGCCGCGUGUGUGAAGAAGGUCUUCGGAUUGUAAAGCACUUUAAGUUGGGAGGAAGGGCAUUAACCUAAUACGUUAGUGUUUUGACGUUACCGACAGAAUAAGCACCGGCUAACUCUGUGCCAGCAGCCCGCGGUAAUACAGAGGGUGCAAGCGUUAAUCGGAAUUACUGGGCGUAAAGCGCGCGUAGGUGGUUUGUUAAGUUGGAUGUGAAAUCCCCGGGCUCAACCUGGGAACUGCAUUCAAAACUGACUGACUAGAGUAUGGUAGAGGGUGG
rnacentral:rRNA from 1 species